rnacentral:rRNA from 1 species
GACGAACGCUGGCGGCGUGCUUAACACAUGCAAGUCGAACGGAAAGGCCCUGCUUUUGUGGGUUGCUCGUUUGGCGAACGGGUGAGUAACACGCGAGUAACCUGCCCUUGUCUUUGGGAUAUCUUUACGAAACUCGGGCUCAUACCGGAUAGGAGCUCCUGCUGCAUGGUGGGGGAUGGAAAGUUUCGGCGGUGCGGGAUGGACUCGCUGCUUAUGAGCUUGUUUGUGGGGUAGUUGCUUACCAAGGCUUUGACGGAUAGCCUGCCUGAGAGGGCGACCGGCGACAUGGGGACUGAGGUACGGAGCAGACUCCUACGGGAGGCAGCAGUGGGGAAUAUUGCACAAUGGGCGGAAGCCUGAUGCAGCAACGCCGCGUGCGGGAUGACGGCCUUCGGGUUGUAAACCGAUUUCGCCUGUGACGAAGCGUGAGUGACGGUAAUGGGUAAGGAAGCACCGGCUAACUACGUG